rnacentral:rRNA from 1 species
GAUGAACGCUGGCGGCGUGCCUAAUACAUGCAAGUCGAGCGAACAGAUAAGGAGCUUGCUCCUUUGACGUUAGCGGCGGACGGGUGAGUAACACGUGGGUAACCUACCUAUAAGACUGGGAUAACUUCGGGAAACCGGAGCUAAUACCGGAUAACAUUUGGAACCGCAUGGUUCUAAAGUGAAAGAUGGUUUUGCUAUCACUUAUAGAUGGACCCGCGCCGUAUUAGCUAGUUGGUAAGGUAACGGCUUACCAAGGCAACGAUACGUAGCCGACCUGAGAGGGUGAUCGGCCACACUGGAACUAGGACACGGUCCAGAAUCCUACGGGAGACAGCAGUAGGGAAUCUUCGGCAAUGGGCGAAGGCCUGACGGAGAAACGCCGCGUGAGUGAUGAAGGGUUUCGGCUCGUAAAACUCUGUUAUUAGGGAAGAACAAAUGUGUAAGUAACUGUGCACGUCUUGACGGUACCUAAUCAGAAAGCCACGGCUAACUACGU